UACAAAAUAAAACAGAUCGGUGGGCAGCAUUCAUUACACAAUUUUAUGAGCAUCAAUAAUCACGCCACAAUUUGUAGCUGCUGUUCACAUGGUGGUCACCUCGAUUACAAUCAAACAGUCCAGUGUUUCAGUAAAUCUGAGUUUUUUUUUCUCCACCUGUGCUUUGAUCUUAUCUGUUGCUGUAAUCUCCAUGUUCUAGGGUUCAUUGCAUGGGAGAUCUCACAUCAGCUGCAGACUUGUGUCUCCAAGCGUCAAUAAUUUUGCUAAAAUAGGAAGUUUGCUCUUUGAAUGAUAAUUAUCUCGAUGAUAACAGAACAGCUAACUCUUCAGUAAAUCUGGGAUAAGAAAAAAAACAGUUUUUGAUGCUGUUUAUUUACCUCUAAUCUCCAUGGUCAACGGCUCAUUCUUGGGUGCUCUCUCAACUCUCAUCCUGUUUCUCUCUGAAGAUCGCUAAUCUUGCUGCAAUAAGAAGCCUGCUAUUCAGGUAAACGAUCAGUUCAAUGCUUCGGGUAGAUCUGAAUUUAAAUCUGGGUUCGAUGUGUUUGAUGCUCUUCAUUACCUCUAAUCUCUGUGUUCUCCCCCAUCUUGUUUCCCUCUGAUCAUCAAUUGAUCUUCCAGGGAUUUGAAGCAUGUGACGAACAGCUAGAUGAUUAUCAAGCAGUGCAAUGCUCCAGUAGAUCUGGGUUUCUUUUUUGCCUAAUUUAUCAGGGCUUGAUCAUACUCUUCAGUAAAUCUAGCCUCCAAGUUCUAGGGUUCAUCGCUCAGGAAAACUCAUCAGUUGCAAUGCUAUUCCUUUUCCAGCGUUAGUAAUCCUUCUGGGAUCUGAGUCCUGCCAUUCAUGUGAUGAUCAUCUUGAUUACCCAAACAGGUAUUAGAGCAGCUCAAUGAACCAGUGGAUCUCGUAUUUUUCCUUCGGAAGAUGUCCUCAGAUCUCGUUCUUGAAUCAAGGAUCCACCCAUUUCAGUUCUCACCGCCCAUUCGGCCACCAUCUCUGUUGCCCAUCUACACCCAGCAUCUUCAUCUUCCAUAUCUUCCAUUAAUCAAGGAUCACAUGAAUCAGAGAUCAUAUUCCCUUAGCAAUUCAUUCUCAACAAUUUUCAUCUGCAGCCAACAUCAUCAUGAUCAUGAUCAUGAUCAUCAUCUUGCCAGUCAUCUUGAACCAGGGAUCACAUGAAUCAUGGAUCCUCUUCCAUUAGCAAUCCGUUCUCAACACCUUUCAUCUGGAGCCAACAUCAUCAUCAUCACCAUCUUCUUGCCCAUCAUCUUGAACCAGAGAUCACAUGAAUCAAAGAUCCUCUUGCCAUUAACAAUUUUGACUGCAAUCUUCACCACCCCCCACCCAACAAAAAUCCUCCCAUUGUGCAGGCCUUGCUCCCUCUUGCAGCAUUGCCACCACCCAUCUACAC
rnacentral:lncRNA from 1 species